rnacentral:rRNA from 1 species
UAGUCCACGCUGUAAACGAUGAGAACUAGCUGUUGGGUAUUAAUAUUUAGUGGCGCAGUUAACGCGAUAAGUUCUCCGCCUGGGGAGUACGGCCGCAAGGUUAAAACUCAAAUGAAUUGACGGGGGCCCGCACAAGCGGUGGAGCAUGUGGUUUAAUUCGAUGCAACGCGAAGAACCUUACCUACCCUUGACAUCCUGCGAAUCCUGUAGAGAUACGGGAGUGCCUUCGGGAAUGCAGAGACAGGUGCUGCAUGGCUGUCGUCAGCUCGUGUUGUGAAAUGUUGGGUUAAGUCCCGUAACGAGCGCAACCCUUGUCCUUAGUUGCCAUCAUUUAGUUGGGGACUCUAAGGAGACUGCCGGUGACAAACCGGAGGAAGGUGGGGACGACGUCAAGUCAUCAUGGCCCUUACGGGUAGGGCUACACACGUGCUACAAAGGCAGAAACAAACCGAAGCGAUAUUGCGAGAUGGAGCUAAACGGUAAAACACUAGUCUCAGUCCGGAUUGAAGUCUGCAACUCGA